rnacentral:rRNA from 2 species
UACGUAGGUGGCAAGCGUUGUCCGGAUUUAUUGGGUUUAAAGGGUGCGUAGGCGGCCCUGUAAGUCAGCGGUGAAAUACGGCAGCUCAACUGUCGAGGUGCCGUUGAUACUGCGGGGCUUGAGUGCUGAUGAGGCAGGCGGAAUUGACGGUGUAGCGGUGAAAUGCUUAGAUAUCGUCAAGAACACCGAUAGCGAAGGCAGCCUGCCAAGGAGCAACUGACGCUGAGGCACGAAAGUGCGGGGAUCAAACAGG